AGCGAACGCUGGCGGCAGGCCUAAACAUGCAAGUCGAACGCACCUUCGGGUGAGUGGCGGACGGGUGAGUAACGCGUGGGAACGUGCCCUUGGUUCGGAACAACUCAGGGAACUUGAGCUAAUACCGGAUGUGCCCUUCGGGGAAAGAUUUAUCGCCAUUGGAGCGGCCCGCGUUGGAUUAGGUAGUUGGUGGGGUAAAGGCCCACCAAGCCUACGAUCCAUAGCUGGUCUGAGAGGAUGAUCAGCCACAUUGGGACUGAGACACGGCCCAAACUCCUACGGGAGGCAGCAGUUAGGAAUCUUGGGCAAUGGGCGAAAGCCUGACCCAGCCAUGCCGCGUGAAUGAUGAAGGUCCUAGGAUUGUAAAAUUCUUUCACCGGGGAAGAUAAUGACGGUACCCGGAGAAGAAGCUCCGGCUAACUUCGUG
rnacentral:rRNA from 1 species